CGGUAAUGCACCAUGACCGUCGUUAGCCAACCGCUAAUAACCAUCGAAGAAGAAGUCAGCCUCGCAGCAAAGCCAUUACUGAAGACUCUGAUUUCUGUUUUCACAGGAUGGAGAACUACAGCGACGACGAUGACUCUUCUACAGUCAAUGUUAACAAUGCCAAUCCUCCUAUUAAAUCUGAAGAUGCAGUGGAGUCAUCAGCACUUCGGUGCUCUUCUCUGUUGAUGGUGUUUUUGGGGUUGCUUUGUGCCAUACUGACUGCAAA